AGGGAUGUAGCUCAGUGGUACAGCACCUGCCUGGCAAGUGAGAGGCCUUGAGUUUGAUUCCCAAUAUUUUUU
rnacentral:tRNA from 1 species